UCUUUCUUAGUUUCUUGAGCAAGAAAAUUUUUCUUGAUUUUUUCAACAAGGGGCCGAACUUUAUAGUACCUAUCCGAAGUAUCGAAAUUACUGUCGGCAAAAUGUAAAUAUCGACGGAUUUGUUGAUAUCUUUUUAGGGUCAUAAGAUCGGCUAUAAUAUUGGCGGGUAUCUUAAUUGUUUAGACCAGUAGUCUAAAUAUGAUGGCAUCACAACAAUUCCCAUCAUAAUUUUUAUCGCCAAAAAAUUCGUCAACUGUUAAGAGGCCGUCAAUAGAUCUUCCAGAUUUCUGCACUGAAAAUUUGUUUGUUUCAGUAACAAUGUCUAUAAAAAUAUCUUCCGAGAAGAAUUUUAGAAAAUAUUUCAUUGCUGAACUUUUAGGAUCUAAGUCCUCGUAUUCGUCAUUAUCGUUUAUAAUUUCCAUCUCGGCUUUAUGUUGGAAAAGCGCACGACGCCAUGUAUAUUCCAGUGAAAAUUUCUUGACAACUUUGCGCCUUUUACUGGCAAUUUUAGGUUGUCUUGAUCGAGUUUUUCGCGUUAUGGGUACUGGUGUAGGCAAAGAUGGAAUAGACGGAAUAUCAGUAUAAUUUUCAUGAUCAAUUACUUCCCGCAUAAUAGGUGUUAAUGGGACAUUUACAUCCUGCAAUGUAUGUUCCUCAUAACUAUUUACAACAUUGU